UCUGGGAUAGCUCAGUCAGGAGAGCACGAGCCUCUUAAUCUCAAGGUUGCGAGUUCGAGUCCCACAUUGGGCAAAA